UUUCCAUUUAUACUUUUUUUGGCUUUUGGAAUUCAAUCAAAACAAAGAAUUUGGGGAAGAAAAGAUGUGAAAACAAAACAUUGGCAUUAGAUUCUGGCCAGACGCUGUUGCCAGCUGAAGUUGCUAAACCUGAGGCUUCUCUCUGCUGCGGAGCAUUCGUCAGCAGAGGGAGAUGGUAAAGGGGCUUUCGCAUCCAGUUGAGGUAACAGAAAAGCUGACAGCUCGUGAGGGACUCUUUCCCACCCUGCGAUGGUGCUAUUCAUGCCGUCUCAGUUUCCAUCUUCAGUUGCCCUCUCUCCCAGGUCUCCGACUCAGGGUUUCCCCCACGAGGCCACCAUUGCUCCAGGAACAGAAGUUGGAACUGAAAGCAGUCUUAGAGGCCUCCAGCCAAAUAUUCCUCACCUGGUUCGCUCACUCCCAAAGGGGUCCCCUGUGAAGCCUCUGAAACCUUAUGCAAAAUCCUGUGCUCAAGUAUAUUUUCCAGGGAGAUGGUGGCUGAUCUCUAUCAGAGCUCCAAAGAGGGCCAUGAUGCCUAAAAGUCCCUAUGGGAUUCAGAAAGGAGUGACAUCUCCAAGGAUGCCUGGCUCGUGGUAUCGCUCAGCAUAUUGUUUCUAGAUGCACUUGUGCAUUCAUGAUGAGGAGGAGGAUGGAUCUUGGAGCUGGAGGAAAGAUGCCACAAGGACCCAUUCUGUCCAGCACAAAAGGAGAAGCCUUCCCAGCCUUAAUGUCCAAAGGGAGGCAUAGAGGCUCAGGGAAGCUAAGUGACUUCAAGGAUGCUAAGGCUCCAGUAUUUAUACAGUGAUCAAAUAUCACACUUGUACAAAGCAAUCUCAGGUGGAAAGACCCACUCCUGACCAUGGGGAUGUGGGACUUUCUGGCAUUGCUAACUGCUCGGGGACAGCCAAGAUGGCAAUAGUGGCUCAUGUUCCAGGGCCCCUGUUUCAUUGAGGGUGUUUGGAUUGUGCUCUUGCCCAAGUGUUCAGAUGACUUAAAGAUUAGAAUGUGCAGCCACCGCGCCCAGCUUCUCCAUCAUUUUUAAGGUUGUUUCUCCACUAGAAAGUGGAAACCUGGGAC
rnacentral:lncRNA from 1 species